UCGAACGCGAAAGAAGCCUUCGGGUUUCAAGUAGAGUGGCGUCCGGGUGAGUAACACGUAGGUAAUCUACCUUCGGGUGGGGAAUAACGCAGGGAAACUUGCGCUAAUACCGCAUAAUGCAGCGGCACCACAUGGUGACAGUUGUUAAAGCGGGGGAUUUUCGAACCUCGCGCCUGAAGAGGAGCCUGCGGCGGAUUAGCUAGUUGGUAGGGUAACGGCUUACCAAGGCGACGAUCCGUAACCGGCCUGAGAGGGCGGUCGGUCACACUGACACUGACAUACGGGUCAGACUCCUACGGGAGGCAGCAGUCGGGAAUUUUGGGCAAUGGGCGAAAGCCUGACCCAGCAACGCCGCGUGAAGGAUGAAAUCCCUCGGGAUGUAAACUUCGCAAGAAUGGGAAGAAUAGACGAGUACUAAUACUGCUCGUGAUGACGGUACCAUUUGUAAGCUCCGGCUAACUCCGUGCCAGCAGCCGCGGUAAUACGGGGGGAGCAAGCGUUGUUCGGAUUUACUGGGCGUAAAGGGCGCGUAGGCGGCCAGCACAAGUCAGUUGUGAAAUCUCCGGGCUUAACUCGGAAAGGUCAACUGAUACUGUGCGGCUAGAGUGCAGAAGGGGCAACUGGAAUUCUCGGUGUAGCGGUGAAAUGCGUAGAUAUCGAGAGGAACACUGCGGCGAAGGCGGGUUGCUGGGCUGACACUGACGCUGAUGCGCGAAAGCCAGGGGAGCGAACGGGAUUAGAUACCCCGGUAGUCCUGGCCUUAA
rnacentral:rRNA from 1 species